rnacentral:rRNA from 1 species
AACGAACGCUGGCGGCAGGCUUAACACAUGCAAGUCGAACGCCCCGCAAGGGGAGUGGCAGACGGGUGAGUAACGCGUGGGAAUCUACCCAGUUCUACGGAACAACUGAGGGAAACUUCAGCUAAUACCGUAUGCGCCCUACGGGGGAAAGAUUUAUCGGAAUUGGAUGAGCCCGCGUUGGAUUAGCUAGUUGGUGAGGUAACGGCUCACCAAGGCGACGAUCCAUAGCUGGUCUGAGAGGAUGAUCAGCCACACUGGGACUGAGACACGGCCCAGACUCCUACGGGAGGCAGCAGUGGGGAAUAUUGGACAAUGGGCGCAAGCCUGAUCCAGCCAUGCCGCGUGAGUGAUGAAGGCCUUAGGGUUGUAAAGCUCUUUCAGUGGGGACGAUAAUGAUGGUACCCACAGAAGAAGCCCCGGCUAACUUCGUGCCAGCAGCCGCGGUAACAC